CCUACGGGGGGCAGCAGUAGGGAAUUUUCGUCAAUGGGCGCAAGCCUGAACGAGCAAUGCCGCGUGAACGAGGAAGGUCUUCGGAUAGUAAAGUUCUGUUGUAGGGGAAAAAGAGCGGAGAGAGGAAAUGAACUCCGAUUGAUAUUACCCUUCGAGGAAGUCACGGCUAACUACGUGCCAGCAGCCGCGGUAAUACGUAGGUGGCGAGCGUUAUCCGGAAUGAUUGGGCGUAAAGGGUGCGUAGGCGGCCUGCUAAGUCUGGAGUGAAAGGUAACGGCUUAACCGGGACAGGCUCUGGAAACUGG
rnacentral:rRNA from 1 species